CACCCAGGUUACAACAAAGGGCAAAAGUAAUCCGCUACUGGAGUGUGUUCACCAUGGAACCAACUGGGGGGCACGACAUCUGCAGCCACCAGGGCCUGUUGAGCAGGAGCAGGGGAGCCGAGUGAUCAGCAGCUGGACUGUGCCUUGGACCUAAUGAGGCGCCUGCCUCCCCAGCAAAUCGAGAAAAACCUCAGCGACCUGAUCGACCUGGUCCCCAGUCUAUGUGAGGAUCUCCUGUCUUCUGUUGACCAGCCACUGAAAAUUGCCAGAGACAAGGUGGUGGGAAAGGAUUACCUUUUGUGUGACUACAACAGAGAUGGGGACUCCUAUAGGUCACCAUGGAGUAACAAGUAUGACCCUCCCUUGGAGGAUGGGGCCAUGCCGUCAGCUCGGCUGAGAAAGCUGGAGGUGGAAGCCAACAAUGCCUUUGACCAGUAUCGAGACCUGUAUUUUGAAGGUGGCGUCUCAUCUGUCUACCUCUGGGAUCU
rnacentral:lncRNA from 1 species